AGAGUUUGAUCCUGGCUCAGAGUGAACGCUGGCGGUAGGCCUAACACAUGCAAGUCGAACGGCAGCACAGGAGAGCUUGCUCUCUGGGUGGCGAGUGGCGGACGGGUGAGGAAUACAUCGGAAUCUACUUUUUCGUGGGGGAUAACGUAGGGAAACUUACGCUAAUACCGCAUACGACCUACGGGUGAAAGCCGGGGACCUUCGGGCCUGGCGCGGAUAAAUGAGCCGAUGUCCGAUUAGCUAGUUGGCGGGGUAAGAGCCCACCAAGGCGACGAUCGGUAGCUGGUCUGAGAGGAUGAUCAGCCACACUGGAACUGAGACACGGUCCAGACUCCUACGGGAGGCAGCAGUGGGGAAUAUUGGACAAUGGGCGCAAGCCUGAUCCAGCCAUACCGCGUGGGUGAAGAAGGCCUUCGGGUUGUAAAGCCCUUUUGUUGGGAAAGAAAAGCAGUCGGUUAAUACCCGAUUGUUCUGACGGUACCCAAAGAAUAAGCACCGGCUAACUUCGUGCCAGCAGCCGCGGUAAUACGAAGGGUGCAAGCGUUACUCGGAAUUACUGGGCGUAAAGCGUGCGUAGGUGGUUGUUUAAGUCUGUCGUGAAAGCCCUGGGCUCAACCUGGGAAUUGCGAUGGAAACUGGGCAACUAGAGUGUGGCAGAGGAUAGU
rnacentral:rRNA from 1 species